AUUGAACGCUGGCGGCAGGCCUAACACAUGCAAGUCGAACGAGUGGCGGACGGGUGAGUAAUGUCUGGGCACCUGCCUGAUGGAAGGGGAUAACUACUGGAAACGGUAGCUAAUACCGCAUACCAUCGGAUGUGCCCAGAUGGGAUUAGCUAGUCGGUGGGGUAACGGCUCAGCUAGGCGACGAUCCCUAGCUGGUCUGAGAGGAUGACCAGCAGCACUGGAACGGAGACACGGUCCAUACGCCUACGGGAGGCAGCAGUGGGGAAUAUUGCACAAUGGGCGGAAGUAUGACGCAGCCAUGCCGCGUGUAUGAAGAAGGCCUUCGGGUUGUAAAGUACUUUCAGCGGGGAGGCGUUACCCGCAGAAGAAGCACCGGCUAACUCCGUGCCAGCCGCCGCGGUAAUUC
rnacentral:rRNA from 1 species